ACCUUAAUCAAUAAAGAAUUAAAAAAAAGAAAAGUAACUGCACUAGAUGAUAAAGACUGAAGUGGACCUCUUUCUUAAUGUCCAGUGUCCUUUGUCUUAAAAUUUGGUGCAAUGUGU